rnacentral:tRNA from 1 species
AGCUAAAUAGUUUAAAUAAAAACAUUAAUUUUGUAAAUUAAUAUUAAAUCUUUUUUUUAGCUU